GGGGAUAAUCGGGAGAAAUCCCGUCUAAUACCGCGUAAUGCCGCGGGGCUGCAUGGCCCUGCGGCCAAAGGGAGCGAUUCCGGCAACGGAUGGGCAUGCGUGACAUUAGCUAGUUGGCGGGGCAACGGCCCACCAAGGCGACGAUGUCUAGGGGUUCUGAGAGGAAGGUCCCCCACACUGGUACUGAGACACGGACCAGACUCCUACGGGAGGCAGCAGUGAGGAAUAUUGGUCAAUGGGCGCGAGCCUGAACCAGCCAAGUCGCGUGAGGGAUGACGGCCCUACGGGUUGUAAACCUCUUUUGUCGGGGAGCAAAUUCCGCCACGUGUGGCGGAGUCGAGAGUACCCGAAGAAAAAGCAUCGGCUAACUCCGUGCCAGCAGCCGCGGUAAUACGGAGGAUGCGAGCGUUAUCCGGAUUUAUUGGGUUUAAAGGGUGCGUAGGCGGACUGUCAAGUCAGCGGUAAAAUACGGGGGCUCAACCUCCGCCCGCCGUUGAAACUGACGGUCUUGAGUGGGCGAGAAGUGUGCGGAAUGCGUGGUGUAGCGGUGAAAUGCAUAGAUAUCACGCAGAACUCCGAUUGCGAAGGCAGCAUACCGGCGCCCGACUGACGCUGAAGCACGAAAGCGUGGGUAUCGAACAGGAUUAGAUACCCUGGUAGUCCACGCAGUAAACG
rnacentral:rRNA from 1 species